GACGAACGCUGGCGGCGUGCCUAAUACAUGCAAGUAGGACGCAGUUGCGAACGGGUGAGUAACGCGUAGGUAACUACCUAUUAGAGGUGGAUAACUAUUGGAAACGAUAGCUAAUACCGCAUACUAGUAGAUGGACCUGCGUUGUAUUCGCUAGUAGGUAGGGUAAUGGCCUACCUAGGCAACGAUACAUAGCCGAACGGAGAGGGUGAUGGGCCACACGGGGACUGAGAAAAGGCCCAGACUCCUACGGGAGGCAGCAGGAGGGAAUCUUGGGCAAUGGGGGGAAACCUGACAGAGCAACGCCGCGUGAGUGAAGAAGGUUUUCGGAUCGUAAAGCUCUGUUGUUAAGGAAGCGGUACUUAACCAGAAAGGGACGGCUAACUACGUGCCAGCAGCCGCGGUAAUUC
rnacentral:rRNA from 1 species